rnacentral:rRNA from 1 species
UACAGAGGUCUCAAGCGUUGUUCGGAUUCAUUGGGCGUAAAGGGUGCGUAGGCGGCGCGGUAAGUCGGGUGUGAAAUCUCGGGGCUUAACUCCGAAACUGCAUUCGAUACUGCCGUGAUUGAGGACUGGAGAGGAGACUGGAAUUUACGGUGUAGCGGUGAAAUGCGUAGAUAUCAGGAGGAAUACCGGUGGUGUAGACGGCUCUCUGGACCGGCCCAACUGACGCUGAGACACGAAAGCGUGGGUAGCAAACAGG